UCGUUUUGCCGAUGUGCUCGCCUCGCUUGUGUAUUAGCGGCUAAGCGAGUUUCUCUCUCCUCUGAGGUUUUGUUUUGCCGAUGUUCUCGCCUCACUUGUCUAUCAGCGACAGAGUGAGCUUCUCUUUCCUUGGAGGUUUCGUUUUGCCAAUGUGCUCGCCUCACUUGUGUAUUAGCAGCUAAGCGAGUUUCUCUCUCCUUGGAGGUUUCGUUUUGCCGAUGUGCUCGCCUCGCUUGUGUAUUAGCGGCUAAGCGAGUUUCUCUCUCCUCUGAGGUUUCGUUUUGCCGAUGUGCUCGCCUCACUUGUGUAUUAGCGGCUAAGCGAGUUUCUCUCUCCUUGGAGGUUUUGUUUUGCCGAUGUGCUCACCUCCAUUAUCUAUCAGUGGCUAAGUUAG